UUGCAAUGGGGGNAACCUGAUCGAGCGACUCCGCGUGGGAGGAUGAAGGUCUUCGGGUUGUAAACUCCUGUCAUUUGGGGACAAUGCGGACGUAUUAACUGUACGUCCGUUGAUAGUACCAGAAGAGGAAGAGACGGCUAACUCUGUGCCAGCAGCCGCGGUAAUACAGAGGUCUCAAGCGUUGUUCGGAUUCAUUGGGCGUAAAGGGUGCGUAGGUGGCGCGCUAAGUCAGGUGUGAAAUCUCGGGGCUUAACUCCGAAACUGCAUUUGAUACUGGCGUGCUUGAGGACUGGAGAGGAGACUGGAAUUCAUGGUGUAGCAGUGAAAUGCGUAGAGAUCAUGAGGAAGACCAGUGGCGAAGGCGGGUCUCUGGACAGUUCCUGACACUGAGGCACGAAGGCCAUGGGAGCAAACGGGAUUAGAUACCCCGGUAGUCCUGGCAGUAAACGGUGCACGUUUGGUGUGGGGGGAUUCGACCCCUUCUGCGCCGGAGCUAACGCGUUAAACGUGCCGCCUGGGGAGUACGGUNGCNAGAUUAAAACUCAAAGAAAUUGACGGGA
rnacentral:rRNA from 1 species